rnacentral:rRNA from 1 species
ACCUACGGGAGGCAGCAGGGAAUUUUCGUCAAUGGGCGCAAGCCUGAACGAGCAAUGCCGCGUGAACGAGGAAGGUCUUCGGAUCGUAAAGUUCUGUUGAAGGGGAAAAAGAGCGGAGAGAGGAAAUGGUCUCCGAUUGAUAUUACCCUUCGAGGAAGUCACGGCUAACUACGUGCCAGCAGCCGCGGUAAUACGUAGGUGGCGAGCGUUAUCCGGAAUGAUUGGGCGUAAAGGGUGCGUAGGCGGCCUGCUAAGUCUGGAGUGAAAGGUACCGGCUCAACCGGUACAGGCUCUGGAAACUGGCG